rnacentral:tRNA from 1 species
GCCCCUGUCGUCUAGUCCGGUCAAGGAUCGCGCCCUCUCGAGGCGUGGGCACGGGUUCAAAUCCCGUCGGGGGCA